CUACGGGUGGCUCCAGUGGGGAAUAUUGCGCAAUGGGCGAAAGCCUGACGCAGCGACGCCGCGUGAGUGAAGAAGGCCUUCGGGUUGUAAAGCUCUGUCAGGAGGGAAGAAGGUGCUUGCACUGACGGUACCUCCAGAGGAAGCCCCGGCUAACUACGUGCCAGCAGCCGCGGUAAUACGUAGGGGGCGAGCGUUGUCCGGAAUCAUUGGGCGUAAAGAGCACGUAGGCGGCCGGCCAAGUCGGAUGUGAAAGACCGGGGCUCAACUCCGGGGUUGCAUUCGAAACUGGUUGGCUUGAGUCCAGUAGAGGAAAGUGGAAUUCCCAGUGUAGCGGUGAAAUGCGCAGAUAUUGGGAAGAACACCGGUGGCGAAGGCGGCUUUCUGGGCUGUGACUGACGCUGAGGUGCGAAAGCUGGGGGAGCAAACAGGAUUAGAUACCCUCGUAGUC
rnacentral:rRNA from 1 species